UGAGCAACCUGCCCUUAGCUCUGGGAUAACCCCGGGAAACCGGGGCUAAUACCGGAUAUGAGUCCGAGCGGCAUCACGCGGACUGGAAAGGUUUUCGGCUAAGGAUGGGCCCGCGGCCUAUCAGCUUGUUGGUGGGGUGAUGACCUACCAAGGCGACGACGGGUAGCCGGCCUGAGAGGGCGACCGGCCACACUGGGACUGAGACACGGCCCAGACUCCUACGGGAGGCA
rnacentral:rRNA from 1 species